GCCUGUUCCUCACUGCCUUCACUUAUUCUAUUCUGCUAGGAAGAAGAAGGUGGAGAUGCCAGAAGAUGCAGAGCAAGCAGGAUGGGCAGUUUGGAGAUUGAGAAGUGCACCGAAUCCACCAAGAAGCAAAGAAUCAGAAUGAAGUUCGAGUGGGCCAGUCAUGUUAAAACUGUUG
rnacentral:lncRNA from 1 species